CCUACGGGUGGCUGCAGUGGGGAAUAUUGGACAAUGGGGGGAACCCUGAUCCAGCCAUGCCGCGUGUGUGAAGAAGGCCCUCGGGUUGUAAAGCACUUUCAGUGAGGAAGAACGCCUGGUGGUUAAUACCCAUCAGGAAAGACAUCACUUACAGAAGAAGCACCGGCUAACUCCGUGCCAGCAGCCGCGGUAAUACGGAGGGUGCGAGCGUUAAUCGGAAUUACUGGGCGUAAAGCGCGCGUAGGUGGCUUGAUAAGCCGGUUGUGAAAGCCCCGGGCUCAACCUGGGAACUGCAUCCGGAACUGUCAAGCUAGAGUGUAGGAGAGGAAGGUAGAAUUCCCGGUGUAGCGGUGAAAUGCGUAGAGAUCGGGAGGAAUACCAGUGGCGAAGGCGGCCUUCUGGACUGACACUGACGCUGAGGUGCGAAAGCGUGGGUAGCAAACAGGAUUAGAUACCCGAGUAGUC
rnacentral:rRNA from 1 species